CAUCAUUGUUAUAUUCAAGGAUGCAGAUAGAUGUUAGGCACAUUGGAUCCCACAAUCAGUGGUUCUCGACAACCUGCUCGCUGUAAACAAUUUACCUGGAGAAGCCAGUGCUUUCCUGCAUAGUGGUACGCGUUAAACACAGGUAGCAACUGGUACCGUUUUUGAAGCCUUUAUUCCAUAGAGAGUUACCUUUAACUCAAGUAAAAGAGUACCUGCCCACCGACUUGAAGCGAAAGCAGGGAGACGACAAGCUUGAAAAGAUAACGUUUCAAAACAGGAAAUGCAAUCACUGUAACGUUCUUGAGGACGAAUUUCAUUUUUUUACUGGAAUGCCCAAUGCAUUAACGAAAAAAGUAUAUAAAUAACUUUUACUUGAAGAACACAAACAUGAUCAAGUUUAUUGACCUCUUACAGACUGACAAUGA